GUCUAGGGCCAUACCCCCCGAACGCGCCCGAUCUCUUUUGAUCUUGGAAGCUAAGCAGGGUCGGGCCUGGUUAGUACUUGGAUGGGAGAAUAAGCUAAGAAUCCAAGGUACUUAAGGGA
ensembl:rRNA 5S_rRNA 5S ribosomal RNA